rnacentral:rRNA from 1 species
GAUGAACGCUGGCGGCGUGCCUAAUACAUGCAAGUCGAGCGAACAGACGAGGAGCUUGCUCCUUUGACGUUAGCGGCGGACGGGUGAGUAACACGUGGGUAACCUACCUAUAAGACUGGGAUAACUUCGGGAAACCGGAGCUAAUACCGGAUAAUAUUUCGAACCGCAUGGUUCGAUAGUGAAAGAUGGCUUUGCUAUCACUUAUAGAUGGACCUGCGCCGUAUUAGCUAGUUGGUAAGGUAACGGCUUACCAAGGCAACGAUACGUAGCCGACCUGAGAGGGUGAUCGGCCACACUGGAACUGAGACACGGUCCAGACUCCUACGGGAGGCAGCAGUAGGGAAUCUUCCGCAAUGGGCGAAAGCCUGACGGAGCAACGCCGCGUGAGUGAUGAAGGUCUUCGGAUCGUAAAACUCUGUUAUUAGGGGAGAACAAACGUGUAAGUAACUGUGCACGUCUUGACGGUACCUAAUCAGAAAGCCACGGCUAACUACGUG